rnacentral:rRNA from 1 species
GAUGCUCUUACCUAGUGAUUCCCCCAAGUCAACGAGAGAAGCCGCGUCCUGCAUUCCCCACUUCCCACCGCGCCACUGCAAGAUUCGAGCGCCGCCCCGCAGUUUCGACCAAGAAGCGACUCCGCGGACGGUGGUGUGGCAGCACGAGGCAGCAGCGACGGCAGCCGCGACUCCAGGUGACGGCGACGAUACAUUCUCAUGGUGUGCUCUUCUCCUUUAAUUUUCUUGGUUUUCUUCCGGUCGUUCUUCAGCUGUGUGAAUCCUCAUGCGAGUUAGAUGAUAGAUCUCGUUUAAAUCUCUAAUCAGAUGGAUCGAUUGGUCGUUUAAAUCUCUAUAAAGAGGUUGCCGCUAAUUCGGUUUUGAAACUACUUUUUUGGGUUCCCUUUUACAGUUAUCUUGUUUUGGAUCCACGACUUAUUGAGGACACUGUAUAUACAACAGAUGCUUGCUAUCUCUUGGAAGUGUAUUUAGAAAAUAAAUAAAUAAAUGCAUGGGAAGUCUAACAAACGCCGCAAACAUGAUAACCUGGAGAACCAACUACAGGAUCAAAGUUUAGAAGCACAAGCAAUACCGUUGAAAUACUUGGAAAAAAUCACAAACAACUUCUCUGAUGAGCGACUACUUGGUAAAGGUGGUACUGGCUUUGUAUAUAAGGGUGUGCAGCAAAGUGGGGAGAUAAUCGUUGUGAAGAGGCUUAUGCCAUCAAUGGUGGGCGCUCAGAGUUUAUUUGAGAAUGAGGUUCAUCAUCUUAUGAGGCUUAGGCACCCGAAUAUUGUGCGACUUAUGGGGUAUUGCUAUGAAACAAAGAAAGUUAUUUUAGAAUACAGAGGGAAAAAUGUUUUUGCUGAGAGGUCAGAAAUGUUGCUUUGCUUGGAGUAUCUCCCUAAAGGUAGCCUUGAUGGUUAUAUUUCAGAUGGAUCAUCCCAACUUGAUUGGCACACGUGCUACAAAAUAAUUGAGGGGAUUUGCAAUGGUUUGCACUACCUUCACGAGCAAAUUGACAAGUCUGUUCUUCACUUGGACCUUAAGCCUGCGAACGUAUUGCUUGACAACAAUUUGGCACCAAAACUUACAGAUUUUGGGCUGUCAAGACUGCUUGAUCAAUAUCAAACUAUGUUCACUCCAAAUCGUUUUGGUACAUUAGGCUACAUGGCACCAGAAUACAUCGAUGAAGGUACAAUCACACCUAAGACAGACAUAUUUAGUUUGGGUGUGAUUAUCAUGGAGCUAAUAACGGGACACAGGGACUACCCAAGUGUUGCGGGAACAUCUUCCGAGGGCUUUAUUGAGCAUAUAUGGGAAUUCUGUUUCAGCUUUCUCAGUUUGAUUCCAUUUUAGGAGACUAUGUUUCAUUUUAUCUUUGCAUUACCGACAUUCUGAUUCUUGUUCUGAUUUCACAGGUACUUAAAAAAUGGAGAAACACAUUGGAGAAAGCACAGGGGUACACAAAGCUAGAAAUAGAUUGCCAACAAAUUAAACGAUGCAUUCAAAUAGGUCUAAUCUGUGUUAAUCCUGAGUGGUCCAAAAGGCCUACAACAGCAAAAAUUAUCAAGAUGCUUAAAGGACUAGAAAGUUCAGAUUGUAGGAUUAGCAAUGAGGCAACGUCAUCAGCACAUCAGACUUCAAAUGGGGUUAGUGAACGAGGAAAACAACCUCCAAAAAAUACACUAUGUAUUGAGAUUUUGGAGCAAGCUGAAAGACAGGAUCUAGCAUUGGUCUCUCUUGCAAUUGCGGGUGACUGUCUAUGUGGAAAGUUGAAGUUGUUGUACCUAAAAAACGGAGAACACAUUUCUCCACAGGCAUCCAUCGUUCGCAUCGUUGUCCCAGGCUCGCCUGCUGGUACCAAACUUCAUGUGGACCCCUACAUGCUCUCCGUGCGGAGUCCCUACCUUCGUGCGAUCUUCACCCGCCACAAUAAUCAAUAUGGUGCAUCUGAGGGCAGUGCGGAGGGCAACAGGAUGGACCUCCAAGAAUUUCUAGGCAAGGAAGUGAAGGUCGAGUACGAUGCGCUGUUACUGGUACUCUUGUACCUGUACAGUGGCCGUGUCGGAGACCUUCCCGAGUCGGCGUACAUAUGUGCCGACGAGAACGGUUGUGCGCACCUCGGCUGCCACCCCACCGUCUCCUUCAAGGUGCAGGUUCUCUUUGUUGCCUUCACAUUCCAGGUCCCCGAGCUCACCAGCCUCUUCCAGCGGGAUCUCCUUGAUGUCCUUCAUAAGGUUGAAGUGGAUAACCUUCCACUGAUCUUGUCUGUUGCAAACUUAUGCAAAAAAUCUUGCGGGAAACUGCUCGAGAGAUGCCUUGAGAUGGUAGUCCAGUCAAAUCUUGACAUGAUUACUCUUGAGAAAGUAUUGCCUCCAGAUGUUGUUAAGCAAAUUACUGACUUACGGCUAAGUUUUGGAUUAGCUUCAUCCGAGGACAUGGGCUUUCCUAACAAACAUGUAAGAAGGAUACUCAGAGCCCUUGAUUCCGAUGAUGUGGAGCUAGUAAGGAUUCUGAUCAAGGAAGGGCAGACCAAUCUUGAUGAUGCAUUUGCGCUCCAUUAUGCUGUAGAACACUGUGACUCAAAAAUUACAACAGAACUUCUGGACAUUGCACUUGCAGAUGUUAGUCUCAGAAACCCAAGAGGUUACACUGUUCUUCACAUUGCCGCCAGACGGAAGGAUCCUAAAAUCAUUGUCUCCCUUUUAACCAAAGGCGCUCGGCCUUCCGAUUUUACAUUUGAUGGAAGAAAAGCAGUUCAUAUCUCAAAGAGACUCACAAAACAUGGGGAUUAUUUUGCGAAUACUGGAGAAGGAAAGCCGUAUCCUAAUGAUAAAUUAUGCAUUGAGAUACUGGAGCAAGCUGAAAGAAGGGAUUCACACUUUGGAAAAGCAUAUGUUUCUCUUGCAUUGGAUGGUGACGUUCUUCGUGGAAGGUUAUUGUACCUUGAAAACCGAGUUGCGUUGUCGAGGAUAUUGUUUCCAGUGGAGGCAAGAGUAGCAACGGACAUUGCUCAAGUUGAUGGUACUUCGGAAUUUGCCCUUGGUCAUCUAGUUGCCAUUGAUCUAAAUGGAACUCCUACCAAAAUGAAGGAUGAACACUUAGCUCGGAUGAGAGCUCUCUCCAAAACAGUCGAACUCGGCAAACGUUACUUCCCGCGCUGUUCAAAUGUGCUGGACAAGAUCAUGGAUGAUGAACCUGAGCUGGCUUCGCUCGGAAGAGAUGCAUCCUCCGAGAGGAAGAGGAGGUUUCACGACCUGCAAGAUACGCUUCUGAAGGCGUUCAGCGAGGACAAGGAGGAGUUUAACAGAACGACAACCCUUUCAUCUUCCUCAUCGUCGACGCCCACUGUAGCAAGGAACUUGACAGGUCGGCCCAGGAGAUGAUGAGCACCCUGGCCCAUUCUUGCCAUAUUGUUAGCUGAUUCUUUUUCUGUCUGAAACUGCCCGCCGGAUUUAUUUUUUUCUGUUUAACGAGUACUAGUAGUCUAGCAUCAUCGUCAGAUAUGAUGAAGCUGUUUGGCUUUGGCCCUGUAAAUCGCCUAGUUAGAGUUGCUGUAAAGUAUAGGCAGUAGAUCAUUGGAC